GCCGGCGCGGCUACCAUGCAGUCGAGCGGUAACAGGGGUAGCUUGCUACCCGCUGACGAGCGGCGGACGGGUGAGUAAUGCAUAGGAAUCUGCCCGAUAGUGGGGGAUAACCUGGGGAAACCCAGGCUAAUACCGCAUACGUCCUACGGGAGAAAGGGGGCUCCGGCUCCCGCUAUUGGAUGAGCCUAUGUCGGAUUAGCUAGUUGGUAAGGUAAUGGCUUACCAAGGCAACGAUCCGUAGCUGGUCUGAGAGGAUGAUCAGCCACAUCGGGACUGAGACACGGCCCGAACUCCUACGGGAGGCAGCAGUGGGGAAUAUUGGACAAUGGGGGCAACCCUGAUCCAGCCAUGCCGCGUGUGUGAAGAAGGCCCUCGGGUUGUAAAGCACUUUCAGCGAGGAAGAACGCCUAUCGGUUAAUACCCGGUAGGAAAGACAUCACUCGCAGAAGAAGCACCGGCUAACUCCGUGCCAGCAGCCGCGGUAAUACGGAGGGUGCAAGCGUUAAUCGGAAUUACUGGGCGUAAAGCGCGCGUAGGUGGCUUGAUAAGCCGGUUGUGAAAGCCCCGGGCUCAACCUGGGAACGGCAUCCGGAACUGUCAGGCUAGAGUGCAGGAGAGGAAGGUAGAAUUCCCGGUGUAGCGGUGAAAUGCGUAGAGAUCGGGAGGAAUACCAGUGGCGAAGGCGGCCUUCUGGACUGACACUGACACUGAGGUGCGAAAGCGUGGGUAGCAAACAGGAUUAGAUACCUUGGUAGUCA
rnacentral:rRNA from 1 species